UCAACUUGUACCUGGAAGUAUUUUAGCAUCAGUAUUUCAGGUUAGUACAAGUAUAGUAAAAGAAAUUAAAACUUCUGAAAUGAGUUGAAUGCGAAUAUUCAGUAAAAUCAAAUUUUGCUCAGUGGCCUAUGGAAAAUUUUGGAAAAAAAAAGGACCGACUCUUGCCACAUUAAUACAUAUGCCUGCUGUGUCUGGCUGCAUCAGCCUCAGAAGCUGGUGGCUAUAAGAGAUGCUUCCAGAGCACUGCAUACUUUGGCAUUGAGCACUGUGCCCAUGACCUGAAGCUCAGUAUCCUUCCCAGCAUAAUGGUAGAAAUUAGUUGCACAGAGUGAACGCUUGCUUUUUACCAUCUGGGCUAUGUCAUACAUUAUUCUCUCAGGACAUCAUUUGUGCAAUGUAAAUGGAGAGACCAAGGAGCAAAUUGUACAAAUUGAUUGCUGUGCCUACCCAGAACUCUCUCUUUUAGUAGGGACUUGAUGUUCUGAAGUGUUACAUAUGAACUGCUCUCAUUUUCUCAUCUGUUUAGGCCAGAAAUGAAAUGCAAGGAAACAGUGGUACAGAAAUAUUUGCCCUAUACAGAAAUAUAAGUAUUUCUGAAUAUGUAGCAUUUAAGGGAAUGCUUCAGACCUCUCUGCUCCUUUAUGUCUGUGAGCAAAGAAACGCAAACAUCCUUACCAUCAAGAAGGCUAGGCGGGGCAGUACUGAAGGUAGGUUGUUUUUAAUCUCUGUACUGCCUGUAUGCUUAUGUUCACAUGUGCCUAUUUUGCCCUCUGGUUCAGAAAAAGUUGCUGUUUUUUUCGGAUGGAAUAGCUUUUGGGGAUAAGGAGAGAAGAAUCCAAG
ensembl:lncRNA